rnacentral:lncRNA from 1 species
UCUGGCAAGUCACGACAAUGGCCACUACCCUGCUCCACUCUCUGCAACGGAUUCCGCGUGGCUCCACUACUCUCUGGCAAGUCACGAUAAUGGCCAUUAUCCUGCUCCACUUUCUGUAAUGGAUCCCGCGUGGCUCCACUACUCUCUGACAAGUCGCGACAACGGACACCACUCUACUCUCCAUAACAAACUCCACGUGGUCCUGAACGACCUCUGACGCCACUACUCUCCGUAACAAACUCCGGACGGCUCUGAACAGCUCACUACUAGGCAGUUACAGACAUCGCUGUCAAUUAGUUACGCAC